UAGCAACUAAUUACGAUGGAGCAGAAUUGAUUUUAUCUAAGCCCGCUAUUGUUUGUGACUUUAUUAAAUAAAGGUUUCCCUUAAUUAGGGGGGGGCUUAUAAGCGAGCUAGCGUGUUUAAUUAAGCAAUGUAAGAUGUUUUUUCUUCAUGUAAUAUUGCUAUAAGAAGUUUAUGAGAAUUUCCCCGUUUUAAUGUGUUUCUUAUCAAA